rnacentral:rRNA from 1 species
AUUGAACGCUGGCGGCAGGCCUAACACAUGCAAGUCGAGCGGAUGAAGGGAGCUUGCUCCUGGAUUCAGCGGCGGACGGGUGAGUAAUGCCUAGGAAUCUGCCUGGUAGUGGGGUAUAACGUCCGGAAACGGGCGCUAAUACCGCAUACGUCCUGAGGGAGAAAGUGGGGGAUCUUCGGACCUCACGCUAUCAGAUGAGCCUAGGUCGGAUUAGCUAGUUGGUGGGGUAAAGGCCUACCAAGGCGACGAUCCGUAACUGGUCUGAGAGGAUGAUCAGUCACACUGGAACUGAGACACGGUCCAGACUCCUACGGGAGGCAGCAGUGGGGAAUAUUGGACAAUGGGCGAAAGCCUGAUCCAGCCAUGCCGCGUGUGUGAAGAAGGUCUUCGGAUUGUAAAGCACUUUAAGUUGGGAGGAAGGGCAGUAAGUUAAUACCUUGCUGUUUUGACGUUACCAAAAGAAUAAGCACCGGCUAACUUCGUG